rnacentral:misc_RNA from 1 species
UCUUUAGCCUUUCCGCAGGAGCACUUGUGAAAUGGUGUGCCGUGUACGCCCAGGACGUACACGGCGCGUCCAGACACAGGGUUUGCACAACAAGUCCUUGUGGUUUGGCAUUAGGUUCUGUUCCACCGACGUGUCCCACGACAAACUAAACGUCUCCUUCUCUGGGUUGAUCACCUUCGUGGAAAUCAGGCGCGAAAGACAAGACAGAAGCACUUAACGCUAAGAAGUAGUCUGAAAAGGUUUGUGAUAACCCUCAGAAAGCAAAUGUGCCGCAAAAUGAAACGGAUUUUCUUUCGCGGCAAGCGCAGUUAGGGGCUAAAAUCGAAGCACUUCGCAGUCUAAUUUUCCAACAAAGACGAAUUACAGAGAUAUGCAGACUACCCCUAACGCGUCACCUCCACAUCGGCAGACUCCGACUUCUCGAAGACUACUGCCGUAUUCGCUAUGUCCUGGCGCAGAACCGAGGUAAAGAUGUGAUAGUACUGCUCAGCAAUGUGAUUUAGAGUAAAAUUCUCUACCAAGGCGAUCCGUGCGUUGCGCCCCAUGCACGUUACUUGCUCAGGUGUGUUCGCCAAUUGGGAAAUCACCCGAACCAGCUGAUCUGUAUCAUUUUGGUCCACCUGGAUCCCACAAUCGGCUUCCGCGAUAACGCGUGCCACUUCGGAGAGUGGAGACAUGAUUGCAAUGGCAGGACGCCCCGCGGCCAGAAUGUUAUAGAAUUUGCUGGGAACACAGAGUCCUUCCAUGCCGGGUUCGAGCGUUACGAGGGAGACAUCCCCUGAUGCGAGCAGAUCCGCGUACUCAUCCUUGGGCACAAACGGAAGAACCUUGACGUUGUUGAUAUGCUCGUCCUGAAUGCGCUGUAGGAUGUGCUCUUUCUGAUGUCCUUCUCCCACCAGAACAAAGCUGAUGCCGCGGGGAUCAGACUGAAACUGCUUGGCCGCAUCCAGAAUGGUGUUGAAGUUGUGGUAGCGUC